ensembl:snRNA U4 U4 spliceosomal RNA
AGCUUUGCACAGUGGCAGUAUUGUAGCCAAUGAGGUUUAUCAGAGGCGUGAUUAUUGCAAAUUGAAAUAAAAACAUUUUUCCAUUACCCAGAAAAAGACAUUUUGUCAGAAUCCCCAUUC